UCAAUUAAAUUUAAUUAUAUUCUAAUUAAAUUUAAUUAGGGUUAUUUAAUAACUCAAUUAGGUUUAAUAGGGGUUAUUAAAUAAGCCCAAUUAAAGACCCAAAUUUAAAUAACCAAGCCGGCCCAACUAGCACACCUUUUAUUUACUGAAAAUUGUUAGCCCAUCACAAUAAGAUCCAACAUCAGCCCAGCCUAUCCAUUUAAAUUACUAAACCCUACCAUCCCACUUUUAAAAAAUUCCUUUACCCGGCUCAUACCCUUAUAUCUGUCCCCUUCAGAAAACAACCUUCAACAAUCAACAACAUUCGAUUUCAACCAGACACAACCUCGACAACUCUAUCAACUUCGCGACCCAAUCCAUCUUCAACCCGAUUUUAACAAAAUCAACCUAUUUGCAUCCUUCUUCACGCCUGUCACGCAAUAGUACAACGAAAAGCUUUGAUAAUCUUCUAGAAACACGUCCAGGUGUCUUCUCCAAUAUUCCAACCCCGUGAAUCUCGGAUACCAUGGUACGAAUUCGUACAUACUUGGUUGUUUUUUAUUGGUAUGGAAUGGAAUUUAUUUUGUCCUUUUUUAAUUGGUCCAUCAUUUCAAAGAAUAAAAAAAUUGGUACCAAUGAGGAUGAAAUCUAAGCUGUAGAAGGGUUCCAGUUUGAAUUUCAAAAUUAGUCCUUUUUUCAAAUCCCUAAUCCACCCCCAGUUUCGUCUUCUAUAUAAGAAAUGAUUGGGUCUUAUUUUAGGGGAGAUUUUGGGGGUCCGAAAAUCGAGGAUUGUUCUCUUCCUUCCAAGUUUGAAAUUUUGGGUUCGAAGGGGGGUUUUUCUCUUCUUUAUGGGGGGGUAGGUUUGAUUCUGGGGUAUUCUAAAAAGGUUUAAAAUUCUGGGGUUGAAGGUUCUGGGGUGGGGAAACUUUUGGGUCCAAAAAGGAUUAGAAAUUCUGGACUCAAAAACCUAGGGAGAAAAUUUCCUUCAGGGCAGCAAAACAUUUCUUUGAGAGGGAAAACCAAGAAAGAACAGGGAGAAAUAGUCAGCUAGUCGAGUGUUCACGACGGUAUUGAGCUUUCCGGUGGUGGUGGAAGUCCGAAGUUAGCUCAUAGUACUGUUUUGCUGCCUCAAAACAGCAAUGGGACAUUGAGGCCCGCCCUUUUAGAAGAUGUUGAAUGUCGCGGAAGUAGUACAAGUAUAAAGAGUCGAAAAGAAGAACGGGUUAAAAUCCCGUCUUUGAAGCAGCAAAGAGACUAGAAAGUUUCUUUUAUCUUUUUAUUUAUUUACAGAUUCAUUGGCGUCCUUCAUUUGUUUAUUUACUUUUUAUUCAUUCGUGUAGGCCUCGAAGCCAAAAGUUUUAAAUUUAAUACAGGUGGAGCAAUACUCGAUCUAAA